GGGGGGAACUUCACAGCAGUUAUUUGGUGUUCUGUCAAUCUGUGGGGAGGGAAGGGGGACUGUGUUUUUUGGUAUGUGAACUUGAAAGCAUGCAUUGUGUUAGAGUAUAUAAUAUUCUAUACUGGGACUUUGUCUAGCCUUGUGGUAGUGUAGGGGUAAAAUGGUGCAUGGACAGUUUUUCAGAGAGUCUGGAUGCCAUGUGCAAGGGGAAACUUUCAGUCAGUCAGUCAGUUCGCAACUCCUGUUUAUUGUGUUUUCAUUUUGUUUUGUCCAAACCUAUCUGGAUAAAAUGUUUAGCACUAAAUGGAUAUUUAGAAGGUGACCCAAUUGGUCAGGGGCGCAGACCUGUCUUAUUUGUUCACAUUAAAGUCUGCCACAAUAGUCAGCAUCACCUGCAUGCUUGGAUAUACAGUACAUACACACGUGUGCACGUGGGCACACAUACCAAGAAAGGCAUUUAAACUUGUAUUGCAAACCUGCUCCUUACACCAGAUGUUUUGAAUGUGUUAAGUUAUCGACUGUAUUGAUGUCAUGUGUGACCUUUUGUCUAAACAAAGUUUGUGGAGCUAAGUGUUCUGGAAAUGAAUAGUCAGAUUGUCCUUUAAUAUAUAAAUAUAUAUAUAAACAGUUUUGUUUGUUUUUUAAAUGUCAUCUGAUGCCGUUUCUUUCAGGGUACAGAUUGCAAUGAGGCGGGAAGAAAGAAAAUAUCCGAUUUUUGUCAUAAAAUGUCUGUGUUUGAGGUUGUCGGUAGUGUGUGAACUCUGAAGGCAGUGUGAGAAAACCAUUCUCCUGACAAAAACUUCCUAAAAACCCCUAAUUAUUCCCAAUUUUGCUCACUGAAUUUUGACAUAGACCAUUGUAAUGGAAAGAAAGACAAAAGAAACUCCCAGGCUGUCGAGAUGAGAUAGAUAGCGUCUGAAGAAUUGGGCUAAACAGCUCCUGCAACGAGUCAAUAUGCUAACAGUGAGGGGGAAAUGAGCUUGGUGAGAAUAUUUGAAGAGUUAAGAGAAUUCGAAAGGAAAACAAUGAAAAAGUGGUGGUCAUUAAGGGGGAUUUAAAUAACAUUACCAAGAGGAGGGAGGAAGCUGAGAGUCGUACCGCAGAGGCUGAGGAACAAAUACAACAGACGGGGGAGGUGCUGUCUGAACUGCUAACGCUUCAGGCCCAGCUUGAGGCUAAAUUGACAUAUCAGGAGGGUAGGUCCAGGCGGGAAAACAUCCGUAUAUACGGGCAACCGGAAGGCAGCGAAAAUGACCCAUCAACCAUCAGCUUCAUUGAAGAACUACUGAAGAAUGGGCUGGGGCUUAACCCAGCGACAGACCUGCUUAUUCAGAGGGCU
ensembl:lncRNA